ACCACCAGACGUCUCACGUAGCUGUUGCCCUGAACCAGAACGCACGAUUCCAUUGGUCCACUUAUCAAGCCCGUGUCUCAUUGGAUCCGGUGGGCCAACAACAAAUGUGUGACAUGUCUGCUGGUCCCUGGGCAGAGGGUCAGGAAACCCUGUUCUGAUGGGUCCAUACUGUGUUAACAUUGGGUUCUGGUCUCUGGGCAGAGGGUCAGGAAACCCUGUUCUGAUGGGUCCAUACUGUUGAUUAACAUUGGGUUCUGGUCCCUGGGCAGAGGGUCAGGAAACCCUGUUCUGAUGGGUCCAUACUGUUGGUUAACAUUGGGUUCUGGUCCCUGGGCAGAGGGUCAGGAAACCCUGUUCUGAUGGGUCCAUACUGUGUUAACAUUGGGUUCUGGUCCCUGGGCAGAGGGUCAGGAAACCCUGUUCUGAUGGGAUCUGGUCCCUGGGCAGAGGGUCAGGAAACCCUGUUCUGAUGGGUCCAUACUGUUGGUUAACAUUGGGUUCUGGUCCCUGUUCUGAUGGGGAUCUUUUGGGUCCAUACUGUGUUGGUUAACAUUGGGUUCUGGUCCCUGUUCUGAUGGGUCCAUACGGUGUUCGGCAUGGCGGCCGACUUUAAAGGCGAGUCAACUGACUGAUCAUCUUGCAUUGUGUGUGUAUAUAUCUGCACAACAGUCCAGUCAUAAUUUACCCAUGAUACAUCAGUGUUGAUGCUCUCAAACACGGCCGUUCCCUCUGGGUUCAUCCAGACAGAUAUAAAGCCUCUAGUUUUAGAGGGAAUCCCAUCCUGAAGGCUGGUCUAGGAUCAGUUUCCUUCUGGGCUGGGUUCAUCCAGACAGAUAUGAAUCCCAUCCUGAAGGCUGGUCUAGGAUCAGUUUCCCUCUGGGCUGGGUUCAUCCAGGCAGAUAUGAAUCCCAUCCUGAAGGCUGGUCUAGGAUCAGUUUCCCUCUGGGCUGGGUUCAUCCAGACAGAUAUGAAUCCCAUCCUGAAGGCUGGUCUAGGAUCAGUUUCCCUCUGGGUUCAUCCAGACAGAUAUAAAGCCUCUAGUUUUAAAACAUCUGACGGGUCGUAGAAGGAAUCCCAUCCUGUAUUUAUAUCAAUGAUGACCUCCGGUUCUAUUGGUGGUUUAUCAGGAACCUGAUCCUAGUUAGACACUUGAUACAGAUGACCUCUGGUUUAUCAGGAACCUGAUCCUAGAUCAGGACUCCCAGUCAGACAUGAUACAGAUGACCUCUGGUUUAUCAGGAACCUGAUCCUAGAUCAGACACUUGAUACAGAUGACCUCUGGUUUAUCAGGAACCUGAUCAGGACUCCCAGUCAGACACUUGAUACAGAUGACCUAUUUCUGCUCAGGACCUUCCAGUUAAUCUACUGCACACAGAUUUGGAGAGAUGUGAUAUGACUACAGUAACACCUCGUUUCUAGAGAAAAGUAGAUUUUUUUUUUUUUUUUUACAAAAACAUUUUUAUUUCAUUCCAAAAGUCGUUAAAAUCACGUGUUUAUAAACAACUUGUACGUAUUGA